rnacentral:lncRNA from 1 species
GUUUUAAAACCAGCUGUGGGGCCAGAUGGGUCCCAUUCCUGCCCGGCUGGCAGCGUCAUCCCUCGAACAUCUGCCAAGAGCUGUCAGAAAAGCUCUCGCUCAGCCGGUUCUCGGGGUGGCUAUGAAUCAUUUCUUGCUCACAGGCCCAGUGGGGAGAGAGCCGCCCGCUUCCAGGACUCCCCUGAUUCUAUCCCCCAGGGAGCCACAUCCCCAGGAAGAGACAUGCCUGGGCUGUCACCGAGUGCCCCAGGACACGACGUACCCAGAAUUUGGUUUGAACAUGUUGCCCUCAACUGUCCUCAGCCUUUUUGGGAAAAUAAAAACAAAACAACAACAAACUGAAAAGAUUAGAAUUCUUGUGUGCCUGGUAAAAAGUCCUACUCAGCCCUCAAGGCCCCAGGAGCUAUCACAUCCUUGGGCCUGCCCAGCACACAGCCCUGCUCUGACCCCAUCAUAACUGCCAGCAAGAGCCUGUCCUGAGCCGCCGACCGCAGGACCCUGGGGCCUGCAUCUCACCCGGACGUAGCGCCUGCCCCCCAGGCUCCUGGCAGUAUGGGGCCUGACGGCACCAGAAGUGAAGGAGUGUGGGGAGGCGUCUCGAUCCUGCCCUGUAACAACCCCCUUCACUUCUCAGGACUCUUCUGCCUUCUGGAAAGCCCCACGUGGGUCGGGCCUCACCCUUUCCUCAGCCAGGGUCUCCUGAGAUGGUUUUCCCUUCUCUCCUCUGAGAUACUCUUCCUCCUGUCUCUCCCAGUGCUCCGUGAUACCAUGUCAUGGGCAGGCAUCUUGGGACACCUAUGUCUCUGUCUGGAGGCCCCAUCUGUGUUCUUUUUGGAAGCAAGCUGGGUGUCAACAGAUAAAAUGUAGAUCUGGCUCUAGGUUGGUCCCCCCCAGCUCUGGAGGACUCCCUGCUUCCCCUCCCACCACUGCCUGCCGGGGAUGUCCGCCCUAGGGUGACAACCCACCUCACGUGGCCUGAGUCUGUCCUAAGCCCUCCACAGGCAUUUGCUGACUCAGUCCUCGCAAGCAUCUGGUCAGGACCACAUUAUUAUUCUCUUAUUUUACAGAGUGGGUCAGAGGGGCCCAGAGAGGUUCAGUGACCUGCCCAGACACACACAGCCCAGGAGUGGAGGAGCCAGUACGCAGCUCUUGGCACGCUCAUCUCAGAACACACGGGAGAGACAGUGAGGGUGACUCCCUCAGAGCCAGAGACUGCAGCCCCGAGGCCUGUGGAUGACUGACAUCCACUGAGACCCCCGACGGGAGGCACCUUGGGGCCAUUUUCCCCACGGGGGGUCGAGAGGGGUUUUGCUUCAGAGGUGGGAGGCCCAUGCGACGGAUGGCCAUGUGGCCAGGCGACACCAAAGCCUGGCAGUAUACAGCUUCCCCAGGAAUGCGGGUGAAGAACACCCCCCACCCUCACAGGGAGGACCCCUCCUGCAGAGGAGCAGUAGAGCAAGGUCAAGUGGAGACCAGCCCAGGGCCCUCCGAGUCCUGUGGGUGUGGCCAUGCAAACGCAAGCCCAUCGUCCUCACCAAGACCACAGGCGUCCUGCAGGGGCGUGUGAAGCUGCCACAGGAGGGCAAAAGGUUUCUGUGAUUUUAUGAACUUGUUUUCACAGCUCACCAGUUGAAGAAGCUGAUCUGGACUAGGUCUGAUAAUAUGCUGGGCAGCGGCACAGGCCAAGAUCCCUAUGCGGGGGCUCACUGACGGGUCAGGACCAGGAGGCCCUGGACACGACUCUUUCAGAGGAUUGGGUGCCCAGGCCCCCCGGCGCGGGGAUGGGGGGGUUCCCGCUGGUCAGAGCAGCUGCUCCUGCCUCCCUCAUGCCAGCUCUGGUUCUCCUGUGCCUGGCCCCGCGUGGCUGCUGUGCUCCCCUCUGAAGCACACCGACCCCCCUCCAGCAGUCUUUCUGCCCCUGAGACGCUCCCUAUCCCCCGCAGGAGGAAUUCCCGCUCCCGACCCCACUCAGAGCAGCCAAUCAAGGGAAAGAGGAAGUUCCCUUGCAGGUCCAUGGACCCUUUCAUUUCCUGUUCAAACAGCAGCUCACGCCGGUGGAGCCUUCAUCAGGCAGAUUUGCCUGGGACCCUCCUGACACACCCCUGCCAUGGCCUAAAGAACCUGUUCCCUCAUUGGGGAGGGUAUGUGCUUUGGUGAGUGCUGUGAAGUGUGUAAACCCGGUGAUUCACAGACCUGUACCCCUGGG